UUUCCUACGGGGGGCAGCAGUGGGGAAUAUUGCACAAUGGGGGAAACCCUGAUGCAGCGACGCCGCGUGAGUGAAGAAGUAAUUCGUUAUGUAAAGCUCUAUCGGCAGGGAAGAAAAUGACGGUACCUGAGUAAGAAGCCCCGGCUAACUACGUGCCAGCAGCCGCGGUAAUACGUAGGGGGCAAGCGUUAUCCGGAUUUACUGGGUGUAAAGGGAGGGUAGACGGCAAUGCAAGUCUGGAGUGAAAGGCGGGGGCUCAACCCCCGGACUGCUCUGGAAAAUGUAAGGCUGGAGUGGAGGGGAGG
rnacentral:rRNA from 1 species